rnacentral:lncRNA from 1 species
ACUUUUAGUGGGGAACAGCUCUAAGGAGAAGAUUACAACUCCCAGUGGUUGGCCAGGGGAAAGAGCCAGCUUCUCAAACACAGGAAAUGAAUGAGAAAAACAAAGACAGCCUGGCAGAAAGUGGUUGUGUACGAUGUAUCAAGAUGGACCUUGGGAAACAUGGAAGGGGUACCCUCAGGAUGCCUGAGAAAAGUCUUCAAGAUGACACAUCGCAAGCCUCGUGCUGGAAAUUUGCAGCGAGAACCAGAUACAAACCUCCAUGGAUACAACAGCAGUUUACGUAUUAUCUUUGGCACGAACUUCUGCCUUCUUGUGAGCGUGAACGAAAAAAGGUGCAGUCCAGCGUUUCUGUUAGGGUUCACUGAUUGGAAAGUUGGCAAUGUUAAAAUGUGUAUUUAUCAAAAUCAUGGAUUCCUUGAGGCUGGACGUAAUUUUUCCUCUCCUCUUUCUUCUGCUAAACGAGGGAGAAGGUGGGACGAGAAGGCAGAGCAAAGCAAGAGAAGCACGCACAUUUUCUUAAAUCCAGAGAUGGAAAUGGAGCCCUUCUUACUGAGCCUUCUCCAGAUGAAUGCCACCAGACAUUCCUGGAGGCAUUGCCCUGGCUUUCUUCCCUGAGUCCCUCGGCUGAACUUCUAACUCACUCCAAGGGUGUGUUGGGUCCUACCUACUUUCUUGAAAGGGGCUUGUUUUGAACGCAUAUAGCUUUCAGCCCUGCAGUUCUAUUCCUAGGAACUUACCCUAUAGUUUUAUUAGCACACAUGGAGAAUUAUAUAUAUUAUAUAUACAGUAAGACUCCUAGAGGGUGUGGAGAAAAGGGAACCCUCCUACACUGUUGGUGGGAAUGCAAACUAGUACAACCACUAUGGAAAACCGUGGAGAUUCCUUAAAAAAUUGCAAAUAGAACUGCCUUAUGACCCAGCAAUCCCACUGCUGGGCAUACACACCGAGGAAACCAGAAUUGAAAGAGACACGUGUACCCCAAUGUUCAUCGCAGCACUGUUUAUAAUAGCCAGGACAUGGAAACAACCUAGAUGUCCAUCAGCAGAUGAAUGGAUAAGAAAGCUGUGGUAUAUAUACACAAUGGAGUAUUACUCAGCCAUUAAAAAGAAUACAUUUGAAUCAGUUCUGAUGAGAUGGAUGAAACUGGAGCCGAUUAUACAGAGUGAAGUAAGCCAGAAAGAAAAACACCAAUACAGUAUACUAACACAUAUAUAUGGAAUUUAGAAAGAUGGCAAUGAUGACCCUGUAUGCAAGACAGCAAAAAGACACAGAUGUGUAUAGCGGACUUUUGGACUCUGAGGGAGAGGGAGAGGGUGGGAUGAUUUGGGAGAAUGGCAUUGAAACAUGUAUACUAUCAUGUAAGAAUCGAAUCACCAGUCUAUGUCCGAUGCAGGAUACAGUAUGCUUGGGGCUGGUGCACGGGGAUGACCCAGAGGGAUGUUGUAGGGAGGGAGGUGGGAGGGGGGUUCAUGUUUGGGAUCGCAUGUACACCCGUGGUGGAUUCAUGUCAAUGUAUGGCAAAACCAAUACAGUAUUGUAAAGUAAAAUAAAGUAAAAAUAAAAAUUUUAAAAAAUAAUAAAUAAAUACAAAACAAAACAAAACAAAAAAAGACUCCUACAUACGAACAAGUUCUGUUCCAAGAGUGCUUUCAUAAGUCCAACUUGUUCAUAAGUCCAGCAAAGUUAGUCUAGGUACCCAGCUAACACAAUCAGGUAUUAGGUUUAUAAUACUGUAACAGUUUUAAUACUGUACUGUAAUAGGUUUAUAAUAGUUUUCACACAAGAGAUACAUAUAAAACAAACACACAAAGAGAUUUUUAACCUUAUAGUACAGUACAGUAGGACAGUACAAUGACUGGCAUCCAGGGGCUGGCAUCGAGGGAAGAGGAGAGAAGAGUCACUGACUGGAGGAGAGAGAGGAGGUGGGAGAUGGUAGAGCUGAAGGAUCGCCACCAGCGAUAGGAGACGGAGGGCAAGCUGCAAUUUCACUCACGCCUGAUGUUGAUAGAACGGAUGUUUGCGUCUUUGAAAGUUCGAAACUUGACAGUUCAUAUGUAGGGUACAUAAAUACACACAUAAACAUAUAUAUGGUUAUUCACCAUAGGAACAAACACUGGAAACCAUCUAAAUGUCCACCAGCAGGGGAAUGGUCAAAUAAACUCAUCACACAUCCAUGUAACAGUGCGGUGAAACUAAAAAAGUAAAAUAAAAUGCAGAAGCCCAUGAUGCAAUCUCCAAACUAUAUUAAUUUUUAAAAAAGCAAGUGCAGAACAUUGUAUGUAGUAUGUUGCCAUUUGUGUAUAAAAGGGAGAAAGAAUACGUAUGUAUUUGUUAAUAUAUGUACAGAAUACCUCUGAAGGAUGGACAAUAUACUCAUAGCAUUGAUGCAUGGGGGAGAAGAACUGGAUUGCGAGAGGGAGGUCUUUUUCAAUGUGCAUUCUCAUAGUUUGGGAAUUUGGUGCCAUGGGAAUCCACUUAAUCAUAAAUAAAUAAGUGCAUGUUUCCAAAAAAAGUAAUAGCUUAAAUCAUUUUUAGAGGGGGCUUAUUAUGGAAAUCUCCACUCUGAAUGGACUACUAUAUACUUGGAUACUUGAAGCCAGCGGCUUGGUUGGGACCCCGCCUCUUGGAUUUCCAUCUCCCAGCAGAGGCUGGCAGAGGGCCACGGAAAUAAACACUCCUCGAAAUUGUUCUGACAUCUUGGAAUUUGGUUUUAUCAAAUACAAGCAGCGGUAAUUGAGCCACUGCCUGAGCGGCUCUUCCCUUUUCUCUAAUCAUGUUUGUUGAAAUGAAUUUGAAGCUGCACAUCCCUGC